CUGAAUUCUGUUCCUCAUUCACAGUGUCCAUCUGGGCUUCUCUGCCCCGCACCCAGAGAGGACAGCCCAUUGUUUUGGGUGUAGAUCAUAAGGGAAAGAAACUCCUGUAUGGCAAUGGCAACUCUGUGAUCAUCCGUGACCUUGAGAAUCCUGCCAUUGCUGAAGUGUAUACAGAACACUCAAUCCAGGUCAACGUAGCUCAGUAUUCACCCUCAGGAUUUUACAUCUGCUCUGGAGAUCAGCAUGGCAAAGUGCGCAUCUGGGACACCAUUAACCCUGAACACAUUCUCAAAGCGGAAUACCAACCCUUGGGAGGCCCAAUUCGGGACGUCUGCUGGUCUCAUGACUCGCAGCGAAUAUGUGUUGUUGGCGAAGGUCGAGGAAAGUGAGUGGAUAUGAUCU